AUAUUGUCCAUCUUCAGAAGGAUAGAGCACUGAUCUUGAGUUGGUAAAAAAACUGCGGAUUGCAAAAGGAUCCGGCCAGGAAUUACAGGCAAUUGAUGUGGAGGGAUGAUUCCACGUCGGACCAUCUGCCACCUGUAGAUACAUUUCCACAGCGAGCACCCCAACCGUGCAAACUCGCGUCGGAUUCUAUUAUGAGAUCUGGUGUGGUGCCGAAAAUGGCACGACCAUUCCAGGCGUCCAUAUGGAAGAGCCACCAUUUCAGUUAGUCUUUCGCUUCUGAGUUCAGAGUGAUCAAAUCUGUGUAGGAGACCCCAUCUCUAAA